rnacentral:sRNA from 1 species
ACUGAGACUGAGAGGGGAGCCCCCUCCAUCUGGCCCCCUUCCCUUUCCGCACUGUCCGCUUUGUGAGGCUCAGAGGAAGGACAGUCUGCAAGCCCGCCUAGGAGCUAUUUCCCCAGGGUAGAGUGGGCAAUUCUCACCUUCAAAGAGUCCCCGCCUGCCCAGGCCUUUGGCACAGAGGCUGAGUGGACAGUCAGGAGAGAGGCGAGAGGCAAGGCGAAGCCUGUGUCCCUGUUUCAGUUGCACUGGGGUUGGAGCCCAGGGUAGGGGUUUCCAGCUUCCCCAGGCUCCGGCCUUGUCAGUCUCUUUGCAUGUGUGGAUUUUUCUGUGUGUGUUUCUGUUUGGGUUUUUGUUGUUGGGUUUUUUUUUUUUUUUAAUAAAGAAAAGAAGAUGUGUA